GAUCCUGGCUCAGGAUGAACGCUGGCGGCGUGCCUAACACAUGCAAGUCGAACGGGGUAUUAUCAUGAAGUUUCGGAUGGAAUGGUAAUGACCUAGUGGCGGACGGGUGAGUAACGCGUGGGCAACCUGCCCCAUACAGGGGGAUAACAGCCGGAAACGGCUGCUAAAACCGCAUGAAACUGCGCCGCCGCAUGGCGGUGCAGCCAAAUAUUCAUAGGUAUGGGAUGGGCCCGCGUCUGAUUAGCUAGUUGGCAGGGUAACGGCCUACCAAGGCGACGAUCAGUAGCCGGCUUGAGAGAGUGACCGGCCACAUUGGGACUGAGACACGGCCCAAACUCCUACGGGAGGCAGCAGUGGGGAAUAUUGCACAAUGGGGGGAACCCUGAUGCAGCGACGCCGCGUGAGUGAAGAAGUAUUUCGGUAUGUAAAGCUCUAUCAGCAGGGAAGAAAAUGACGGUACCUGACUAAGAAGCCCCGGCUAACUACGUGCCAGCCGCUGC
rnacentral:rRNA from 1 species